UACGUAGGGUGCAAGCGUUGUCCGGAAUUAUUGGGCGUAAAGAGCUUGUAGGCGGUUUGUCGCGUCUGCUGUGAAAAUCCGGGGCUCAACCCCGGACUUGCAGUGGGUACGGGCAGACUAGAGUGUGGUAGGGGAGACUGGAAUUCCUGGUGUAGCGGUGAAAUGCGCAGAUAUCAGGAGGAACACCGGUGGCGAAGGCGGGUCUCUGGGCCUUACCUGACGCUGAGGAGCGAAAGCGUGGGGAGCGAACAGG
rnacentral:rRNA from 1 species